AUGCUGGGAGUUGUAGUUAGUGAAAGGUGGUAUCAGGGCAUGCUGUGAGUUGUAGUUAGUGAAAGGUUGUAUCAGGGCAUGCUGUGAGUUGUAGUUAGUGAAAGGUUGUAUCAGGGCAUGCUGUGAGUUGUAGUUAGUGAAAGGUUGUAUCAGGGCAUGCUGUGAGUUGUAGUUAGUGAAAGGUGGUAUCAGGGCAUGCUGUGAGUUGUAGUUAGUGAAAGGUUGUAUCAGGGCAUGCUGUGAGUUGUAGUUAGUGAAAGGUUGUAUCAGGGCAUGCUGUGAGUUGUAGUUAGUGAAAGGUGGUAUCAGGGCAUGCUGUGAGUUGUAGUUAGUGAAAGGUUGUAUCAGGGCAUGCUGUGAGUUGUAGUUAGUGAAAGGUUGUAUCAGGGCAUGCUGUGAGUUGUAGUUAGUGAAAGGUUGUAUCAGGGCAUGCUGUGAGUUGUAGUUAGUGAAAGGUUGUAUCAGGGCAUGCUGUGAGUUGUAGUUAGUGAAUGGUGGUAUCAGGGCAUGCUGUGAGUUGUAGUUAGUGAAAGGUUGUAGCAGGGCAUGCUGUGAGUUGUAGUUAGUGAAAGGUUGUAUCAGGGCAUGCUGUGAGUUGUAGUUAGUGAAAGGUUGUAUCAGGGCAUGCUGUGAGUUGUAGUUAGUGAAAGGUUGUAUCAGGGCAUGCUGUGAGUUGUAGUUAGUGAAAGGUUGUAUCAGGGCAUGCUGUGAGUUGUAGUUAGUGAAAGGUUGUAUCAGGGCAUGCUGUGAGUUGUAGUUAGUGAAAGGUGGUAUCAGGGCAUGCUGUGAGUUGUAGUUAGUGAAAGGUUGUAUCAGGGCAUGCUGUGAGUUGUAGUUAGUGAAAGGUUGUAUCAGGGCAUGCUGUGAGUUGUAGUUAGUGAAUGGUUGUAGCAGGGCAUGCUGUGAGUUGUAGUUAGUGAAAGGUUGUAUCAGGGCAUGCUGUGAGUUGUAG